UCCUUGGUGGCCUAGCAGUUAAAGUCUUGGCAUUGUCACUGCUGUGGCUUGGGUUCCAUUCCUGGCCCAGGAA
rnacentral:tRNA from 1 species